rnacentral:rRNA from 1 species
GACGAACGCUGGCGGCGUGCCUAAUACAUGCAAGUUGAGCGCUGAAGGUUGGUACUUGUACCGACUGGAUGAGCAGCGAACGGGUGAGUAACGCGUGGGGAAUCUGCCUUUGAGCGGGGGACAACAUUUGGAAACGAAUGCUAAUACCGCAUAAAAACUUUAAACACAAGUUUUAAGUUUGAAAGAUGCAAUUGCAUCACUCAAAGAUGAUCCCGCGUUGUAUUAGCUAGUUGGUGAGGUAAAGGCUCACCAAGGCGAUGAUACAUAGCCGACCUGAGAGGGUGAUCGGCCACAUUGGGACUGAGACACGGCCCAAACUCCUACGGGAGGCAGCAGUAGGGAAUCUUCGGCAAUGGACGAAAGUCUGACCGAGCAACGCCGCGUGAGUGAAGAAGGUUUACGGAUCGUAAAACUCUGUUGGUAGAGAAGAACGUUGGUGAGAGUGGAAAGCUCAUCAAGUGACGGUAACUACCCAGAAAGGGACGGCUAACUACGUG